AGUGAACGCUGGCGGUAGGCCUAACACAUGCAAGUCGAACGGCAGCACAGUAAGAGCUUGCUCUUACGGGUGGCGAGUGGCGGACGGGUGAGGAAUACAUCGGAAUCUACUUUUUCGUGGGGGAUAACGUAGGGAAACUUCCGCUAAUACCUCAUACGACCUACGGGUGAAAGCAGGUGAUCUUCGGACCUUGCGCGAUUGAAUGAGUCGAUGUCGGAUUAGUUAGUUGGCGGGGUAAAGGCCCACCAAGGCGACGAUCCGUAGCUGGUCUGAGAGGAUGAUCAGCAACACUGGAACUGGGACACGGUCCAGACUCCUACGGGAGGCAGCAGUGGGGAAUAUUGGACAAUGGGCGCAAGCCUGAUCCAGCCAUACCGCGUGGGUGAAGAAGGCCUUCGAGUUGUAAAGCCCUUUUGUUGGGAAAGAAAAGCAGCAGGUUAAUACCCCGCUGUUCUGACGGUACCCAAAGAAUAAGCACCGGCUAACUUCGUG
rnacentral:rRNA from 1 species